GAUGAACGCUGGCGGCGUGCCUAAUACAUGCAAGUCGAGCGAACGGACGAGAAUCUUGCUUCUCUGAUGUUAGCGGCGGACGGGUGAGUAACCCGUGGAUAACCUACCUAUAAGACUGGGAUAACUUCGGGAAACCGUAGCUAAUACCGGAUAAUAUUUUGAACCGCAUGGUUCAAAAGUGAAAGACGGUCUUGCUGUCACUUAUAGAUGGAUCCGCGCUGCAUUAGCUAGUUGGUAAGGUAACGGCUUACCAAGGCAACGAUGCAUAGCCGACCUGAGAGGGUGAUCGGCCACACUGGAACUGAGACACGGUCCAGACUCCUACGGGAGGCAGCAGUAGGGAAUCUUCCGCAAUGGGCGAAAGCCUGACGGAGCAACGCCGCGUGAGGGAUGAAGGCCUUCGGAUCGUAAAACGCUGUUAUUAGGGAAGAACAUAUGUGUAAGAAAAUGUGGAGAGCAUGACGGUACCUGAUCAGAAAGCAACGGCUAACUACGUG
rnacentral:rRNA from 1 species